rnacentral:lncRNA from 1 species
GCUAAACGAGCCUUCCAUCUGGUUGCUAGGGAGAUGCUUACAGCAGGCUUUUGCUAAGAAGCACUUCUGUACUUUUCUCUCUAGCUCUCCUUGAGUUUCUAUGGAAACUGCCUCAGCUUCCUGUUGUACCCUCCUGGUUCACCACGGCAAUUCUUAGUUUCCUGUCGCUUCUUCCCUGGUUGCUCUAAUGAUGCUGCUGACAAUUUCCUGCCUCUUGGUAGGGGGGUUCUCUUGCAACUGGGUUGCUAUGGUGACUCACAGCUUCCUGUUGCUAUGGAGCUUUUUCUUCCUCGCCAGAGGAGCUUGGUUAAGGUAAUAUGGAAGGGUUUCAUACCUAUUCUCACCCUAGCUUCCCCUCCAGCCUCAGAAACACUUGACUCUUCUGGAGAUGUGUCCCCAGGACCAAGAAACAGUCCCAGCCUGCAGUCCCCCAACCCUGGGAGCAGUACUCCUGCUCUGAGCAGUGGCGGGAUCUUAGGGCUAUCCAGGCAGGUGAGUCCCUGCAGUAAGACUGGGAGCAGGUGGUCUCUGUCUCGAUGGGCUUUUCUAACCAUUUGACAAAUUGGGGAGUAGAGGAAGCAAAUAUUAAACUCUCAGCGGAUGCUCAGAUUGGAUUUGCUAUCCAGUCUGCCUUUCUCCUCUCCUCUAGGCCUGGCUGAGAGGCAUCAAGGUCAGAGGUCAAAAAAGAAUCUUGAGGAGCAGGGAGAGACACUCUCAAUAGAGACCAUAUCUAAACACUGCAAUUUCUGUGUCCUCAGAGUCAUUCCCGAGCCCUGAGUGACCCCACCACGCCUCUGUGAACUAGGAACCAGAGUGACCCUGUUUGCUUGCCUUUAUGCACUGGGGACAGGGAAAUGUCCCUCUUGCUAUGCAACUGCACACCCCUGGGACACUGCUCUGAUGACAACCCACUAUUCUUCCCAGAAGACUCAUCUCGGCCAGGCUGAAUGGAAUUCCAUUCUGGGGUAUCACGGGAAAUGAAGUGUUCUAAGCCACUGAAGGAGAUGGGGUGGGCAUUGCAGACUUUAUAUGUAAUUACUGUUAUUAUACUAUUUACAUUAAAUGUAUUUACUCUC